rnacentral:lncRNA from 1 species
CAAACAACAAUUCCAAAAGAUGCAAAAUGAGUGACAUGAAGCAUAGUACAUCCCACUGAUAAGGAUGAGUUAGAUACACAGAAAUAGUUUAAGCUGAUCAUCUUUCCUCUGACAACAUGGUUUGGCCGGUGGAGAAGGAGAAGGAAUCAGCCAUUACUGGGUACCCAGAGGGGUCUGUCAACGAGGAGGAAAAAGCUGCUUGAAUCAUGAUAAACUGAGGGAAAAUGAGGAAUUGAGGAGAUGGCAGCAGCAGCUGGA